AUUGAACGCUGGCGGCAUGCUUUACACAUGCAAGUCGAACGGCAGCGCGGGGCAACCUGGCGGCGAGUGGCGAACGGGUGAGUAAUAUAUCGGAACGUACCCAAGAGUGGGGGAGUAACGUAGCGAAGUUACGCUAAUACCGCAUACGAUCUAUGGAUGAAAGUAGGGGGCCGCAAGGCCUCAUGCUCCUGGAGCGGCCGAUAUCUGAUUAGCUAGUUGGGUAGGUAAAGGCUCACCAAGGCGACGAUCAGUAGCUGGUCUGAGAGGACGACCAGCCACACUGGGACUGAGACACGGCCCAGACUCCUACGGGAGGCAGCAGUGGGAAUUUUGGACAAUGGGCGAAGCCUGAUCCAGCAAUGCCGCGUGAGUG
rnacentral:rRNA from 1 species